rnacentral:lncRNA from 1 species
AAGAGAUAAAUGCUACUCUAGGAACUGAGUACCCAAGUGCUGGAAAACUGUUAAAAUGAAACCAUUUCACAUUACCAGUAAAAUUCUGAUUAUGGUUUUUCUUUGACUUUAGAGGGGUGUCUUCCAAAAGUUUGCCUUCUGGUGGCUUUGUAAGAUCCAUUAUGGAGCAGCUGGCCCUGGUUUCUCUAAGCAAAGGAUGUGAGCAGCUGAAAAAGCACCCAGCCAGACUGGUGGGAUCAACACCCUAUCAAGAGCCACUUCAUUCUCGUAAACACACAAAGCCCCAGAAAGAAAUGGAGCAAAUGUUUCCUAUGGUAAGUGUGAAAACCCCAACAAUUGCUGGCUCCUUCCAGCUGAAUUUUGCUCUAUAAUUACUGAGCUGAGUAUAGGAAAUUAAAGUUGUGUUUUUCAGCAGCUUUUUCCAUUGGCCUUACCAGAACUGCACUUGGUAGCCAUUUCUACAGAGUCAUUAUUAUUGUACUGACACCAUCAUCAGAGAAAAGAGUUGUGGUGCAAAAAGAUUCUUUAGCAUGUACAUGGC